GUGGGGCCAGGGAUUGAACCCACAUCUUCAUGGAUACUGGUCGAUUUUGUUUCUGUUGAGCCACAGAGGGAACUCCAAAAAGAUGGUAUUUUUAAAAACUUGAAGAAAAAAUUUUAGAGGAUGCUGUAUAAUGACUAAAAGAGCCAGAAGUCUGAAUCUUUCUAAAACAUUUAAACAUUCAGGACUUUCUCUGAAGGAAGAAUCUAUAGUCUGUGCAGACAUCAAUCAGCUGUCUUUCAUCUUCCUCCACCUCUUGUUCAAAUUAUGAGUGAAACUAUAGCAUUGUAGAACUUGCUGCUCCCCAGUGAAGUUGUCCUAAAGAUCAUUUUCUACCACCCUGAAAGUUUAACUACAACUACAUUUAAUUGGCAAUGGUGGGCAGUUCAUCAGGGGUGUUACAGUGUGACUAUUCAGGAAAUGUCUGCCUGCUGAAGGGCUGGCAGGCUUAUUCCUCUCAAAUCUCCCAAGAUCACUUGUCGAAAUAUUUUGUGCUACAGUGUUGACGAUGUGCCCAGUUCAAUCAAUCAAUCAACAAAAAUACAUGUUAAAGGCCUGUUCUAUCACUACUGCUAACAUGAAACCCCAGCUCUGUUGACCAGUGUGCUUGUGUGAAUUGUGUUCAGGCAAAAGUUAGGGUGAUCUUUGCCUGAUCCCCCUGGAUUCAUGCUAUUGUUUCUAGCCCUUUCCAAAUGGGAAAAAAAAAUCAACAAAUCCCCCCCAAAAUAGUUAUUGAACAUCUAAAUUGCACCCACAGUUUUAGUAGACAUAUUUCCUCUCAUCUGAUGAAACACUCAGACCAAGGUCCCUCCUCUCCUUCCUUUCCUCUUCCAAGAACAGUUUAUUAGCACCUAAUGAGUGUAUAGAAUUAUGUAGUUAACCAAGUGUUUUUAAUCUUAACCCUGCCAGCAAUACAGAGGGGGACUAUUUCUUUCUCAGACAGCUGAGGAACCAGGAGACUUGGAUUUGUCUGAGGUCACAGCCAGUAGAGAGCAAGGCACAUGUAAACCCUCAAGUCUUCAACCCCAGAGUGACUUUCCCCAGGUCCCCAUUUCUCCCUACUCCCUGUAAAACACUGGAAUAAAUAUUUGAGUUUGAAAAAUAGGAGUAAGAAUCAGAUGAAUAAAAUAGCUUUUCACCUCAGAAGUUUAAUAUCAGAAGUAACCCAAUGAUUUGUCUCAGUCUAAAACAGAACCACGAGCCUGAUGCAUUUCAUAAUCCUUCCCUUCCCUCAUAUCCGACUCAAGAUGAUUAGAAUCUCUGGAGUCGUCCAUGGUUGCCAGGCCUCAAAAAGUCCUACUUGCGUGACUCUCUCUUAAUACUGAUUCAAAAAACAUUUCUCAGUGCCAUGAUUCUGGACAGAUGUUUUUCUAGCUGUGUCUAGUUCAGCGUCUGUUUCUUCUCCUCCUCUUCUCCCACCACCCUGCAUUUCACCCCAGUGUGGUUGUUGGCCUGGCCCUUUCCUUCCAUUCAAACAGUCUGAGGUAAGGUUACAAUUGACCUUCAUGUCACCUAAGUCAAAGACAUUCUUUUUCUCUAUCUUUGACUUGUCAAGAGGCAGAAGAGCAGAGUGGUAAACAAAGCCUAGAACUCUGAAGUCAGACUGCCUUGUUUUGAACCCUAACUCCUCUAUUUACUCCUUGUGUGAUCUCAAGCAAAGGACUUAAUCUCUCUCUGUUUCACUUCCUUCAUCCACAAAAUGAGGAUGAUAAUAACAUCUGCAUCAUAGCAGAGGUGGAAGGAUUCAAGGAUUUAAUAUAAGUAAAACCCUGAAAAAGUGUCUGAUGCAUAGUAGGUGUUGGCUGUUAUUAUUUAUUAUUACCUGAGCUGCUCAGCAUGUUAACUAUUUUUUGGUCUUUAAUUUCAGUCUUCCUUCCGUUGAUCUCCAUGGCACCAUGUUUUCACUAAUUUGCCCUAUCCUCUCCAAGAAUUUUCUCAUUCCCCUUGGUAGAUGCUCAUUCUUUUUUUUUCCCACUUAACAAAUAAAUGUUUAAUUUCUUCUCAUUUCAUUUACAUAGUAGAUUAUUUGCAUCAUUUUUCAGUCCCUGGGCAAUCUCAUAAAAGUCACACAUUAGGACACCAAGUUCAUGUAAAUAUAUGUUUUCAUGACAGACUCUUCCCUAGAAUUCUUGAUGUACAUAUCUACCUUCCUUUUUAAUCUCUCCACUUGCAUAUCUCACAUACGCGUUAAACCCAAUCUUUCAUCCUCAAACUGGUCACUUUCUGGUAUUCCUCUUAGCAAAUACAACUACCAGGCAAUGUGUUAUUGAUGCUAGAAACCAAAGUAUCAACCAGGAUACUUCUGUCACACUCACCUCCAGUAUUCAAUCCAUCACUAAGCCCUGAAGAUUAUACUUCCCAUGUCCUUUUUUUAGAUAUUCCUCAACCCCCAUCAACGCUACUACUAUAUUUCACCUGGAAGAAGGCAACAGCUGUCAAAGUACCCUCUUCUUGUCACUCUGACCCUGUACAUCAAGCAGAACAAUCUUUUUAAACAGAAAGAGGUCCUAUUAUUAUCUGUUUAGAACACCUUGAUAUCUUUCUUGUACUUUUAUAAUAAAGACAAACUAACUCCUUAACUGAGCUCACAAAACUGUAUCUCAGCAGCUUUAAAUCUUCUCACACCUCCUCUUGCUUUCAUACUAUCAAAUCACUGACCACAGUUUUAGUUCAUUAAGUUCCUUUAAAAGGAAAAAAAAAAAAAAAAGGAUUUCCCGUUGUGGCUCAACAGUAAUGAACCUGACUGAUAAUGAGGUUCAUGACGAUGCAGGUUUGAUCCCUGGCCUCGCUCAGUGGAUUAAGGAUCCGGCGUUGCCGUGAGCUGUAGUGUAGGCCAGCAGCUGCACUCUGAUUUGACACCUGGCCUGGGUACUUCCGUAUGCCAUGGGUACAGCCCUAAAAAGCACACAAAAAAAAAAAGAAAAAAAAAAAUUCCCUACUCCCUCUCCCUGCAGGGCCUUUGUACAUGCUGGACCUUCUGCUCUUUCUCUCUUCUUUAUCCCACCAGCUUCUAUUCACUUUGACCACUUGGCUAAAGCAUUACAUAAUCAAGAAAGCCAUCUAACCCUGCUGACCAGAUAAAUUCCUCAUAUUUCUUUUCUUUCUAGGAUUUAUCAUGGUUGUAGUUUCACAUUCCUUCAUGGCUUUUAUCUGUCUCAUGGAGCAGACUGUAAACUCUAUGAGGCGAUGUGUUUGGGGAAGGGUGGUUACUAUUGUAUCCCCAGGACUGCGUAGAGGUGCUGCUCCAAUAUAGAUCGUUUACAGUAACUUAACUCACAGUAACUUAACUCUAUUCUAUCUCUAUAGCAUAAUGCCUGGAGCGCACAGACCUCAUUUUACCAGAAUUAGCCACUUGAAUGAAUAUAUAUAUGUGCUAAUUAUGGCUGAGUAACUACUAAUUCUGCUUAAAACUUGCCAUGUUUGAAUAGAUAUCACAAGAAUCGAUGUCUUAGGAAUUAGAGGUGUAUUAGAAAACAUCAUAAUUGGCAUGACUGACACUCAGGCCUGGAAGGAUAAAGCAUUUCAAUUUAUUUUGACUUCUUAAGAUUGCUGAGACUGCAAUUCCUGGACCCUGUCUACUCCUGGUCAGUUUUACAUGGCCAAAAUGUAACAGAAUGAUUUUAUUCCUUAGCUUUAUCUUAUUUGCGCUCUAAUAUAUAACCAGCCUUUGAAUUAUGUUUCCCUAAAAAAAACAACUGUUUUAUAUUAGGAUGAUUAAACUUAGGCCAUCUGAUAUUCCCAAAACCCCAAUAAAGGAACAAACUGGAAACUGCAUAAAAUAAUGCAGGUAAAAUAACCUUCAGAAUGGCCAGAAUCAAUUCAAGCUUCAGCCUUUUGAUGACUUCACAGAUGAAUAACAAUGUGGUAGGUUUUACUAAAAAACAACAACAAAAAAGAAGACGAAGAGGAUGAAGAAGAAGAAGAAACAGGCUUUUCCUAUUCUUCCACCCCUUUGCAGUAAGUACUUCAUUUAAAAAAGUAAAGAAUUAUUUUAUGGCCUUGAUGUUGUCAGAGACACUAAAUUUUCUACACAAACAAAAUCGGAUGACUCUGCUUGAAAAAAAUUCUUUCCUAUUAAUAUUAUGAGAUGUUUAAAAAAAAAAAAAAAAGGCAUCUGGACAGUUCAUUUGAAUGGCCACAAGAGAGCAGUAAGAAAUUAAAGCUUAGGAAGAUGACUCAUAGUCACACUUUAUAUGUAUGUGUUCUGCUAUUAGGAAGAAUUGAAAGACAGACUUAUUUCUAUUUGUUCUUGAGUUUAGAAAUAUAGUUUAGAAUUUCUUAAUUUUUAAAACGGCUUUAGGAAGGGCAAUAUUGAUAGCAUUAGCUGGAAUUACUGAAAAAAACCUUAAGUUAAGACUUUUACAAACCUCAAGUUCAGGUGUGAAAAUAGAAGAAAGUACCUCCUCUGGGCAAAGGGACAUCUUGAGCAGUCAUCCGGCCCAUCCCUUCGGAUUAUUCAAGCCUGACAGAAAGAAUGAAAUCAUAUUCUUAGGGAAAUAAUAUUGACCUCUUAUUCUCCAUAAUGUAGGCAGGUUUAGAAGCCCUGAUUCCCAGAAGAAAAUGCUUUCAUCAGUCAACAUUACAUUUAACUUGAAGCCACAGCUGCUGCCUAGUCACUUUGGGCUUAUCAUGUCAAAAGACCAGCAUCAAGGAAAGAGGUGACUAUGCUAUCAGGGAGAAUUAACCCUGAUCACCAGGUGAGGGAGAGUUGCCAUCACACGAAGGGAGCAGGGAAGAAUAUGCUUGGAACUCAUGUGAUCUACCUGGCUGUCUCUUGAUACUUCUUCACCAAUUUUGAUCGUAAAUGGAGAAAUGAAGCAACACAGAUCAAGAGAUAUCAGUCUGGGUCAUCUGCACAAGGUUUCUCCAGGAAAAUAUGGGCAUCAGAAUCAUGAAGGAGCUACUCCCAGAAGGUGGAUUUAAGCAAUGCCAAGAGUGAUCUCCAUACAUGUUGUAAUGUGGUAUGCAUAUUUUCCCACUUCAAUAUUAAUCACCCAGUCCAUAAGCUACUGGAAAUUGCCCUCAGAUGAAAGGAAUCACCCUACCCAAGACCACAUUCCCUUCCUAGGACCUGCCCUCAUCCAAUGACCGGUUGAUGCUGGAUAUAAAGGACCUGCCCCUUGCCCCAACUGGGGACAACUGGAAAGGUCAGCUUAGCUCCAAAGCACUCCAUAAAAUGGGCUGAGAUCUUCAUUGUAGCUCCAUCACAGUUCUACUUUUCUCUCCCCUCUCCAGUCCUUCUUUCUUCCACUCCCAACAGUAUUGAUUCCAAGAACACUCCCUAAUAAAACCCCUGAAUACAA